rnacentral:lncRNA from 1 species
GGGCGGAGCCUUCGCGCAGGGAGCUGUACGCAGCGCGAUUGCGCUGCCGCGGAGCCGGAACGGAGCCUGAGACCUGGUCGAAGCUGGGUCUAGCCAAAUCCAGAGGCUCACAGACUGAAACAGCACACUUCUCCCACUGGCCUCUUCUUCACCAUGAUUCACAGUCUUUUCUUGAUCAACUCUGCUGGGGAUAUUUUCCUGGAGAAGCACUGGAAAAGCGUGGUCAGCCGCUCUGUUUGCGAUUACUUUUUCGAGGCCCAAGAGAGAGCUACGGAGGCUGAAAAUGUGCCUCCCGUCAUCCCCACACCUCACCACUACCUUCUGAGCGUUUACCGGCACAAGAUCUUCUUUGUGGCUGUGAUCCAGACGGAGGUCCCGCCUCUGUUUGUCAUUGAAUUCCUUCACCGAGUAGUGGACACAUUUCAGGUUUGUAAAUGUGGGGAGCUAUAUAAAUGUAUAUAAACCAUAAGAGAACCACACCUCUG